UUCCUUUUAAAAUUAAUUUAAGGUAGGCCCUGCCCGGUGCACAUGAGGUGUAAACGGCGGUCUUAGCGUGAGGAUCUUAAGGUAGCACAAUAAUUUGUCUUUUGAUUGAAGAAUGGUAUGAAGGGGUUAACGUGGGGUAAGCUGUGUCAAAAUGAUAAAUUGAAAUUAAUUUUUACGUGAAGAAGCGUAGAUCUGUUAGAGUGACGAUGAGACCCUAUGAAGUUUUACCUGAAGUUAUCUCAUUAGUCUAAGGGUGGUUGAGUGUUUUUACAUUCUUACCUUAAGGUAAACUAUAACGGUUUUGGUGGGGCCCCAGUCUUAAUAGGUGUAAGAUAGUGUGCAUUUACUUGUGCGUUUAGUCUACAGGUAAGUAGCUUGUGGAUGUUAUAGCUCUUACUAGAUUUUAGCUGUGUGUUACAAAUUUGAUUAACUACUCUAGGGAUAACAGCACGAUCCUCUUCGAUAGAAGUUAUUGACAAGGGGGUUUGUGACCUCGAUGUUGGCUUUGGAUUACUCUUAGGUGUAGAGGCUUAAUGAGCGGGUCUGUUCGCCCUUUAAUUUCCA
rnacentral:rRNA from 1 species